UUUUUAAAGAGUUUGAUCCUGGCUCAGAGUGAACGCUAGCGGUGCGCCUAACACAUGCAAGUCGACUGUACUUCGGUACAGGGCGAACGGCUGAGUAACACGUUGGAACCUGCCCCGAACUCAGGGAUAACCCGGCGAAAGUCGGGCUAAUACCGGAUAGUUCCCGCAAGGGUAAAGCUUUUGCGGUUCGGGAGGGUCCUGCGGCCUAUCAGUUUGUUGGUGGGGUAAUAGCCUACCAAGACUAUGACGGGUAGCUGGUCUGAGAGGACGACCAGCCAGAAUGGGACUGAGACACGGCCCAUACUCCUACGGGAGGCAGCAGUGAGGAAUAUUCCGCAAUGGGGGAAACCCUGACGGAGCGACACCGCGUGAAGGAUGACACCCCUUGGGGCGUAAACUUCUGUUCUGAGGGACGAAAUUUUUGACGGUACCUCAGGAGAAAGCACCGGCUAAUUCCGUGCCAGCAGCCGCGGUAAGACGGAAGGUGCAAGCGUUACUCGGAAUCACUGGGCGUAAAGCGUCCGCAGGCGACUUUUUAAGUCCGACAUUAAAAUGCGCAGCUCAACUGCGUAGUGUGCCGGAAACUGAAGAGAUUGAGUCACCCAGAGGCAUCUGGAAUGCCAUGUGAAGGGGUAAAAUCCGUUGAUCCAUGGUAGAACGCCAAAAGUGAAGACAAGAUGCUGGGGGUGUACUGACGCUCAGGGACGAAAGCGUGGGGAGCGAAGGGGAUUAGAUACCCCCGUAGUCCACGCCCUAAACUAUGCGUGCUCGGUGUUGGGAGUUCAAUCUUUCCCAGUGCCCCAGCUAACGCGGUAAGCACGCCGCCUGAGUAGUACGGCCGCAAGGCUAAAACUUAAAGGAAUAGACGGGGACCCACACAAGCGGUGGAGCAUGGGGUUUAAUUCGAUAAUAAGCGGAGCACCUCACCCAGACUUGACAUCCCGAGAACGUUCUAGAAAUAGAGCAGUGCCGCAAGGAACUCGGUGACAGGUGGUGCACGGUCGUCGUCAGCUCGUGCUUUGAAGUGUACUGUUAAGUCAGCAAACGAGCGCAACCCUCAUCCUAUGUUGUUAUUUCAUAGGAGACUGCCGCCUCCAAGGCGGAGGAAGGUGAGGAUGACGUCAGAUCUGCGUGUCCCUUACGUCUGGGGCAACACCCGUGCUACAAUGGCCGGUACAAAGGGCAGCGAACCCGCGAGGGGGAGCCAAUCUCAAAAAACCGGUCUCAGUUCGGAUUGAAGUCUGCAACUCGACUUCAUGAAGUUGGAAUCGCUAGUAAACGUGAAUCAGCUACGUCACGUUGAAUAUGUUCCUGGGUCUUGUACUCACCGCCCGUCAACUCAUGAAAGGCAGGGGCGCCCGAAGCACCUUUAUUCUUCGGAAGAGGUACCACGGUGAAACUGCUGAUUGGGAGUAAGUCGUAACAAGGUAUCCGUAGGAGAACCUGCGGAUGGAACACUUCCUUA
rnacentral:rRNA from 1 species